UAAUCAAAUGUCUAAAAUUGAUAAUAUAUUUAACAUUCGAGUUAAUAAAUUAUCCAUAUUUAUAUUAAAACCUUUCAAGCAACAAAAACAAACUCCUAAUUAAUUUUAAAUCACACAAAAAAGUAAAAAUAUACAAAAUUUACAUGAACUAUGGACAAUUUUGAGUUGGCUGCUUGCCUAAUCUUUCAAAUUUUUGAUUUUACCAUCCAACUUGUCUACUUGUUCGAUUUGAAUUAGUCAAUAACAUUUUGAUUUUAAAUUUGAAUGUCUUAUUUAACUUUAUAAGUUUAGUAUAUUUCAUGCAAUUCUCACAAUUAUAAAUUUAUUAAAGUAAGGAAUUAAUUAGCUUAAAUUUUGAAUUUAGAAUAUUGUUGACCGACUCAAAUCAAACAAAUUAAAAAAUUGGAUAGUAAAACCAAAAUUUUGAAAAAUUUAAUAGCCAACUCAAAAUAGUUUAUAGUUCAAUAAAUUCUGCAUGUUUUUACCAAAAAAAGAAAAAAAAAAAGCCUAUAAGGUAUCAUUAAUGUUUAUCUUAUUUCGACAUCAAAACAUGGCCUAGUUUCUUAACUUUGCAUAUAUUAUAUUUAAUUUUGGCACCAUCAAAAAAUCAAGUUAUCUUAUAUUGUGUCCAUUGCAUCC
rnacentral:lncRNA from 1 species